rnacentral:rRNA from 1 species
AAUCCAGCCAUGCCGCGUGUGUGAAGAAGGCCUUUUGGUUGUAAAGCACUUUAAGCGAGGAGGAGGCGCUCUAGGUUAAUACCUUAGAAGCGUGGACGUUACUCGCAGAAUAAGCACCGGCUAACUCUGUGCCAGCAGCCGCGGUAAUACAGAGGGUGCGAGCGUUAAUCGGAUUUACUGGGCGUAAAGCGUACGUAGGCGGCUUUUUAAGUCGGAUGUGAAAUACCCCGAGCUUAACUUGGGAAUUGCAUUCGAUACUGGGAAGCUAGAGUAUGGGAGAGGAUGGUAGAAUAUCCAGGUGUAGCGGUGAAAUGCGUAGAGAUCUGGAGGAAUACCGAUGGCGAAGGCAGCCAUCUGGCCUAAUACUGACGCUGAGGUACGAAAGCAUGGGGAGCAAACAGGAUUAGAUACCCUGGUAGUCCAUGCCGUAAACGAUGUCUACUAGCCGUUGGGGCCUUUGAGGCUUUAGUGGCGCAGCUAACGCGAUAAGUAGACCGCCUGGGGAGUACNGUCGCAAGACUAAAACUCAAAUGANUNGACGGGGGCCCGCACNAGCGGUGGAGCAUGUGGUUUAAUUCGAUGCNACGC